UAACCUGGUUGAUCCUGCCAGUGGCCACCGCUAUUGGACUUCGCUUAAACCAUGCGAGUCGAGAGGGUUCGGCCCUCGGCAGACCGCUCAGUAACACGCGGAUAACCUGCCCUUGGGUGGAGGAUAAGCUCGGGAAACUGAGUAUAAUACUCCAUAGGUCAUCUAUGCUGGAAUGCUUGAUGGCCGAAAGCUCCGGCGCCCAAGGAUGGGUCUGCGGCCUAUCAGGUCGUAGUUGGUGUAACGGACCAACUAGCCUUCGACGGGUACGGGCCUUGAGAGAGGUAGCCCGGAGAUGGACUCUGAGACAUGAGUCCAGGCCCUACGGGGCGCAGCAGGUGCGAAAACUUCGCAAUGUGGGAAACCACAACGAGGGGAGUCCAAGUGCUUGCACAAUGUGUAGGCUGUUUCCGUGCCUAAAAAGCACGGAGAGUAAGGGCUGGAUAAGACGGGUGCCAGCCGCCGCGGUAAUACCCGCAGCCCGAGUGGUGGUCGCUAUUAUUGGGCCUAAAACGUCCGUAGCCGGCCCGGUAAAUUCUUGGGGAAAUCGGCCAGCUCAACUGGCCGAAGUCCGAGGAGACUGCCGGGCUUGGGACUGGGUGAGGUCAGAGGUACUUCAGGGGUAGGGGUAAAAUCCUGUAAUCCUUGAAGGACCACCAGUGGCGAAGGCGUCUGACUAGAACGGAUCCGACGGUAAGGGACGAAGCCCUGGGGCACAAACGGGAUUAGAUACCCCGGUAGUCCAGGGUGUAAACGCUGUGGGCUUGGUGUUGGGAGUCCCACGAGGGCGCCCAGUGCCGGAGAGAAGUUGUUAAGCCUACUGCCUGGGGAGUACGCUCGCAAGAGUGAAACUUAAAGGAAUUGGCGGGGGGAGCACCGCAACGGGUGGAGCGUGCGGUUUAAUUGGAUUCAACGCCGGAAAACUCACCGGGAGCGACGGUUACA
rnacentral:rRNA from 1 species